AUGUACCAGUCGUACACUCCGGUUCCUGUGCGCCGCCCGCACCCGCCUGACGACUGCUCGCUACGUUUUGUUAGCC
rnacentral:sRNA from 1 species